AGUGAACGCUGGCGGUAGGCCUAACACAUGCAAGUCGAAUGGCAGCACAGAGGAGCUUGCUCCUUGGGUGGCGAGUGGCGGACGGGUGAGGAAUACAUCGGAAUCUACUCUGUCGUGGGGGAUAACGUAGGGAAACUUACGCUAAUACCGCAUACGACCUACGGGUGAAAGCAGGGGACCUUCGGGCCUUGCGCGAUUGAAUGAGCCGAUGUCGGAUUGAGCUAGUUGGCGGGGUAAAGGCCCACCAAAGCGACGAUCCGUAGCUGGUCUGAGAGGAGGAUCAGACACACGGGGACUGAGACACGGUCCAGACUCCUACGGGAGGCAGCAGUGGGGAAUAUUGGACAAUGGGCGCAAGCCUGAUCCAGCCAUACCGCGUGGGUGAAGAAGGCCUUCGGGUUGUAAAGCCCUUUUGUUGGGAAAGAAAUCCAGCUGGCUAAUACCCGGUUGGGAUGACGGUACCCAAAGAAUAAGCACCGGCUAACUUCGUGCCAGCCGCCGCAGUAA
rnacentral:rRNA from 1 species